rnacentral:tRNA from 1 species
UGGUAGGUAGCUCAGCGGUAGAGCACUUGCCUCAUACGUGUGAUGCACUGGGUUCAAGUCCUAGCACCAC